rnacentral:sRNA from 1 species
AUGGCUGUCGUCAGCUCGUGUCGUGAGAUGUUGGGUUAAGUCCCGCAACGAGCGCAACCCUUACUUUUAGUUGCCAUCAUUUAGUUGGGAACUCUAAAAGAACUGCCAGUGAUAAGCUGGAGGAAGGUGGGGAUGACGUCAAGUCCUCAUGGCCCUUACGUGUUGGGCUACACACGUGCUACAAUGGUACUUACAAUGAGAAGCAAAGAUGCGAGUCUAAGCCAAUCUUAAAAAAGUACCUCAGUUCGGAUUGCACUCUGCAACUCGAGUGCAUGAAGCUGGAAUUACUAGUAAUCGUGGAUCAGCGCGCCACGGUGAAUACGUUCCCGGGUCUUGUACACACCGCCCGUCACACCAUGGAAGUUGGUUACACCUUAAGGCAAAUUGUUAACCCUCGGGAAACAUUUGACUACGGUACGAUCAGCGACUGGGGUGAAGUCGUAACAAGGUAGCCGUAGGGGAACCUGCGGCUGGAUCACCUCCUUUCUAAGGAAAUCGAAAAUAUCAAAACAAUUAUUUUCGAUUUAAAAAAAACCGGUAAUGUGACCGUCCUCAUUUCUCUUCUUUUAAUGUCUCUGAGUAAAAAUAAUGUAAAGGGGCCGGUAGCUCAGUUGGUUAGAGCGCACCCCUGAUAAGGGUGAGGUCGGAAGUUCGAAUCUUCCUCGGCCCACCAAUAUUAUGGGGGAUUAGCUCAGCUGGGAGAGCGCCUGAUUUGCAUUCAGGAGGCCAGCGGUUCGAUCCCGCUAUCCUCCACCAAAAUUUGAGACAUUUAGCUUUUUUAAAUUGUGAAUAUUAUUAAUAUUAUCAAUAUCUAUAUCCGAUUGUUUUCAGAUAUUUUUUUGAAAGCAAUCAAAACAAAAAUUUGAAUUUUACACAGAAAGUUUUUUUCUGUGCAUAAAUCAAGCGUUUAAGGGCGAUUGGCGGAUGCCUUGGCACUGUAAGACGAUGAAGGACGUGGUAUACUGCGAUAAGUUUCGGGGAGCUGUAUGCAGGCUUUGAUCCGAAAAUUUCCGAAUGGGGAAACCCGG